CCUACGGGUGGCAGCAGUGGGGAAUAUUGGACAAUGGGGGAAACCCUGAUCCAGCGACGCCGCGUGUGUGAAGAAGUAUUUCGGUACGUAAAGCUCUAUCAGCAGGAAAGAAAAUGACGGUACCUGACUAAGAAGCCCCGGCUAACUACGUGCCAGCAGCCGCGGUAAUACGUAGGGGGCAAGCGUUAGCCGGAUUUACUGGGUGUAAAGGGAGCGUAGACGGCAGCGCAAGUCUGGAGUGAAAUGCCGGGGCUCAACCCCGGAACUGCUCUGGAAACUGUGAAGCUGGAGUGCAGGAGAGGUAAGCGGAAGUCCUGGUGUAGCGGUGAAAUGCGUAGAGAUCAGGAGGAACACCGGCGGCGAAGGCGGCUUACUGGACUGUAACUGACGUUGAGGCUCGAAGGCGUGGGGAGCAAACAGGAUUAGAUACCCCUGUAGUC
rnacentral:rRNA from 1 species